AAAAAAAAAAAAAAAAAAAAAAAAAAGGAUCUUGACUUCUGACUUCAGAGCAGUUGAGGCUUGUGCAAGAAGAAAAAUCUGCAAGAAGUCUGCAUAAAAAGCAUAACAGCAAAACCAUCAAGGGCUCCAAGAACACAGGGAAGUUACAGAGGAGAGCUGUCUGAGCUAGGUUAAGCUCACUAGGCUUGGGGAGAAUAGGGAAGAAUAUUCUGGGUGCAGGGUAUGCUUAGGGGAAGAGCAAUCAGGCUGGAAAUGGAAGCUGGGAAAAGUUGUUUCCCAUCCCUGAGCAGGUGAGAUUAAAAGUUCAGUGGGGCCUGGUGUGGUGGCUCGCGCCUGUAAUCCCAGCACUUUGGGAGGCUGAGAAGGGUAGAUCACCUGAGGUCAGGAGUUCGAGACCAGCCUGGACAACAUGUUGAAACCCCAUCUCUACUAAAAAUACAAAAAAAUUAGCUGGGCAUGGUGGUGGGCACCCGCCACUGCACUCCAGACUGGGCAACAAGAGCAAAACUCUGUCUCAAAAAAGAACCAUAACAAUAAAUUAAUAAAUAAUAAUAAUUUAAAAAUAAAAUAUAUAAAUAAUAAAAAUUUUAAAAAAAGAAACCUCACAGUGGGGACUGGAAUCUAGGUAGGGUUUUCCACGUUGGCCCCUAACACUAUUUCACUUGCGGCAGCUCGGCCCUGUAAUCUGAGCUGUGAGGCCCCACGUUGCUGAAGCAGUCCCCCACCUGGAGCUGUUUCUGAUGAAACUUCCGGGACAGGUGUCAGCAGCUGGUUCUCAUUAAGGAUCAUGUGUAUCAGCGCAAAAGAAAUGGUCCAGUUCGGCUGGGCGCGGUGGCUCACACCUGUAAUCCCAACACUUUGGGAGGCCAAGGCAGGUGGAUUGCUUGAGGCCAAGAGUUCAAGACCAGCCUGGCUAACAUAGUGAAACCCUGUCUCUAUAAAAAACACAAAAAUUAGCCAGGUGUGGUAGCACGCAUCUGUAGUCCCAGCUACUCAGGAGGCUGAGGCAGGAGAGUUGUUUGAACCUGCGACGCAGUGGUUGCAGUGAGCUGAGAACACACCACUACCCUCCAGCCUGGAUGACAGAGUGAGACUCUGUCUCAAAAAAAAGAAAAUACAUGUUUGGUUUUGGAACUUCCCAAGAGCUUUAAUUAGGCUCACAGUACAGUUGGAGAAUAUUUGGGUUUGAGUCCAGAGCACAUGGCCAUAGAGUAGCUUAGUGCAGCUUUGGCUGCUGGUUCAUGGUUUGGUUCAGAUCGAGCCUCCGAGCAUAAGAAAGUUACUCAUUCAGGCCAGAAAUGAAGCUGUGGUGGGGGAGUCAUAAGUGCCCUGCUCACCUUGUGGCUUGGCCAGAUGGGUAGACAGUGGGGGUGCUCAAACUUCAUCUGAUUCAGGACACCCCAAGAUCUCUCUUAGGAAUGACCUCCCCCUCAAGCCCCGGCAGGAUUCUUUUUUUUUUUUUUUUACAGACAGGGUCUUGCUCUGUUGCCCAG
rnacentral:lncRNA from 1 species